rnacentral:rRNA from 1 species
UCGGGAAUAUUGCACAAUGGAGGAAACUCUGAUGCAGUGACGCCGCGUGCAGGAAGAAGGUUUUAGGAUUGUAAACUGCUUUAGACAGGGAAGAAACAAGACAGUACCUGUAGAAUAAGCUCCGGCUAACUACGUGCCAGCAGCCGCGGUAAUACGUAGGGAGCAAGCGUUAUCCGGAUUUAUUGGGUGUAAAGGGUGCGUAGACGGGAAUUUAAGUUAGUUGUGAAAUACCUCGGCUCAACUGAGGAACUGCAACUAAAACUGAAUUUCUUGAGUGCUGGAGAGGAAAGUGGAAUUCCUAGUGUAGCGGUGAAAUGCGUAGAUAUUAGGAGGAACACCAGUGGCGAAGGCGACUUUCUGGACAGUAACUGACGUUGAGGCACGAAAGUGUGGGGAGCAAACAGG